GUGAGUCAUCGAAUCUUUGAACGCACAUUGCGCCCGCCAGUACUCUGGCGGGCAUGCCUGUUCGAGCGUCAUUUCAACCCUCAAGCUCUGCUUGGUGUUGGGGAUCGGCGUGGUACCCUCGGGUGCUGCCGUCCCCUAAAUCUAGUGGCGGUCCCGCUGUAGCCUCCUCUGCGUAGUAGUUUUCUCCUCGCAAUGGAAUCUCGGCGGUGCCUUGCCGUUAAACCCCCAACUUCUGAAAGGUUGACCUCGAAUCAGGUAGGAAUACCCGCUGAACUUAAGCAUAUCAAUAAGCGGAGGA
rnacentral:misc_RNA from 1 species